ACCUGGAUAGCUUGGUUGGUUAGAGCGUAGUUCUGAUAAUGCCAAGGUUGCAGGUUAGAUUCCUGUAUUGGAAA